UACGGGGGGGGCAAGCGUUGUUCGGAAUUACUGGGCGUAAAGGGUUCGUAGGUGGCCGGCUAAGUCAGACGUGAAAUCCCUCAGCUUAACUGGGGAACUGCGUCUGAGACUGGUCGGCUCGAGUGCAGGAGAGGAACGCGGAAUUCCAGGUGUAGCGGUGAAAUGCGUAGAUAUCUGGAGGAACACCGGUGGCGAAGGCGGCGUUCUGGACUGCAACUGACACUGAGGAACGAAAGCCAGGGGAGCAAACGGG
rnacentral:rRNA from 1 species